CGGCAACUUCCAUGCCGGUAACUAUCAUACCAGGCACAACCUCCCUGGUCAGCCUCACAAUAGCAUCUUCUGCAGAGUUCAUGUCCAGUGCCUUCAUUCCAGGCACUUCCUCAAUCAUUCCGAUACUCUUCAACCUCUUUACUCCAGUGGCCCCAAAAGGCCCAUCAUGGCCACAAGAGCUCACAACCACCUUCGCUUCCAUUACAUUGGGAUCCAUGCAAGACUGUGUAUCGUGAUUCAUUGACACCAACGCCCAGUUGGUCACCACACCACCAACUCUGCCGCCUUUGACUAUCAAGUCCUCGGCUGCCACUGCAUUAAAGAGCUUGACGUUGGGGCGGGCCAGGAGCUUGCUCAUUAUAGUGGAGGUGAACAGCGCUGCAUGCUUGAUCACAACAUAGUU
rnacentral:lncRNA from 1 species